rnacentral:rRNA from 1 species
ACUCCUACGGGAGGCAGCAGUGGGGAAUUUUGGACAAUGGGGGCAACCCUGAUCCAGCAAUGCCGCGUGAGUGAAGAAGGCCUUCGGGUUGUAAAGCUCUUUUGUCAGGGAAGAAACGGUUCUGGCUAAUAUCUGAACUAAUGACG